UACGAAGGGGGGCUAGCGUUGCUCGGAAUCACUGGGCGUAAAGGGUGCGUAGGCGGGUUCUUAAGUCAGAGGUGAAAUCCUGGAGCUCAACUCCAGAACUGCCUUUGAUACUGAGAGUCUUGAGUUCGGGAGAGGUGAGUGGAACUGCGAGUGUAGAGGUGAAAUUCGUAGAUAUUCGCAAGAACACCAGUGGCGAAGGCGGCUCACUGGCCCGAUACUGACGCUGAGGCACGAAAGCCAGGGUAGCGAACGGG
rnacentral:rRNA from 1 species